rnacentral:misc_RNA from 1 species
UCUCCGUAGGUGAACCUGCGGAGGGAUCAUUACAGAGUUCUCGCCCUCACGGGUAGAUCUCCCACCCACUGUUAUCGUUACUGUCGUUUCUUUGGCGGGCCGCCGGGUCCCCGGCCGCCGGCGCCUAGCUGCCGGCGCGCGCCCGCCAGAGGCCUUCAAACUCUGCAUGUUAGUGUCGUCUGAGUACUAUAUAAUAGUUAAAACUUUCAACAACGGAUCUCUUGGUUCUG